rnacentral:tRNA from 1 species
CAGGAAGUAGUUUAGCUAGAACGUCGGCUUUGGGGGCCGAGGGAACAAAGUUUUGUUUGUCUUCUUGAUAGG